rnacentral:pre_miRNA from 1 species
GACUUCAACUGAAAAAGUCAUCAACAACAAAAUUGUAUAAUCCAUCUAGAUCUAUAAUUUUUAUUUUUGUCAUUUGUUCAUCCGACAAAGUGAUAGUAACAUUGUUCACAAAUUUUACACAUCUCUUAUAUGGUUUCAUAGAUUAUAAGAGUUGUGUAAAUUUUAAGAACAACGUUAUUAUUACUUUGUCGAAUGAACAAAUGACCAAAAUAAAGUUUGUAGAUCUCGAUUAGUUCUACAACUUUUGUGUUCAUGANNUUUUCAGNUGAAAUC